CCACAUUGUUCCCAGAAAUGGGCUGCCCCUGAAGGGAAGGGAACAAAGCUCUAAAGGCUUCGCUGUAGCAACCAGAACCUGAGACUUUGUGGUCUUCGCCAACUUGGGUUCCAUUCAGGGUGGUGCCCAGACCUCCCUUCAGCGCAGCACCACCUUUGCUGGGGCCAUCAUGGAUCCUAGGAAGUAACACAGAUGGUUGUAACUUGUUUGGGGGAAGAGCAGGAAGGAGAAGUCGAGUCACGGUACCCUCGACUUCGUCUAAUGCCACAGCUUGCUCAGGCCUUCCUCAGUUGGUGGACCUCUACUCAGCGUCCAGCUCUUGGAUGGUCUACAUCUGAAUUGCCUGAAUUUUUGACGAGUUCCUUGGUUUUCUGUAAUUGACCUCUGCACUAGAAUCGACAGGAUAAAAUGCCUAUUGGGGAGUCAUGAUCUGGGAACUCUAAGAAGAGAGUAGGAGAGCACUGAGCUGCCCUUAUGAAUGAAAGUCACCUGUCCAGAUGAAUUAUGGCCUUGGUUCCUAGAAAAAGUGAAAAUGUGUUUGCUGAGAUGCUAUCUGACUCUUGCAAGAUCCCAGAAAACCAUAGAUGCCACAAGAUUGGAGAAGACCAAAUGUCCUGAUUUUCCAAAUCAAAGGGAAGACAAAAGUGCAUAAAAAUCUAGCCCAGUAAGCUUGAGUUUGAUUCCUGGGAAUAUUCUAGAAUGGAUAAUUAAAGAGAUAGUUGGCAAAUAUC
ensembl:lncRNA